AGGGGAGACGCGCCAGGCUGGGAAGGGGCUGUCAUCCCUGCAGGGGGCAGAGGCAGGGCUGGGAGUUGCACGGGGAGGGGGAGGACCAGAGCGGGAGGACGGCGAGCCCGGGGAAGGAAUGCGGAGGGAGGAAGACGGACCGGGAUGAAGACUGGAGGAACUACGGGAGCAGAGCGCAAUAAGAGCAACUGAAGAAACACUCAAACAGGAGGAAGAGGUCGGAGGAUGAGGAACAGCGUGGCAUUUUCUACCUGGGAGCAAAGCACAAUCACUUAGCAAUGGAAGGUACUUGAGAUCCUGAAAUGGGGCCGGGCACGGUGGCUCACGCCUGUAAUCUCAGCACUUUGGGGAGCCAAGGCGGGCAGAUCACAAGGUCAGGAGAUCGAGAACAUCCUGGCUAACAUGGUGAAACCCUGUCUCCACUAAAAAUACAAAAAAUUAGUCGGGCUUGGUAGUGGGCACCUGUAGUCCCAGCUACUCUGGAGGCUGAGGCAGGAGAAUGGCGUGAACCCGGGAGGCGGAGCUUGCAGUGAGCCGAGAUCGCACCACUGCACUCCAGCCUGGGCAACAGAGUGAGACUCUGUCUCAAAAAAAAAAAAAAAAUCCUGAAAUGGAAAAUAAAAAACGAAAAAUGUUGGGGAGAUACCAGCCUCAUGCCUAGUAAUUUCUCAUUUAAUCCUCACAACUGUUAGGUUGGAUAUUAUUUACUUCAAUUUAUAGAUAAGAAAAUGGUAACAGAGAGGGUA